rnacentral:lncRNA from 1 species
CGAAGAGGACGUGGCAUCAAAACCAAGGUUGAAAAAGAUCAUCUAGCAAAGCCUUUUUUCCCAGCUACAUAUAAGGAAUUUGAAAGUCGCAUAAAAUGGUUAAGAAAAUGUGCCAAGAUUACCUCAGUAAUUCUGGUCUGUGUUCUCAGGAGACCCUGGAAAUAAACAAUGUGUCUUCUGUGGCUUCAGCGUCACCUAGUGCAGGCUGCCAUUCAACAAACGCAUUGUCAACAGUCAACCAAAAGAAACCCAUUGGCCACCAUACCCUGAGGACUAACCCUGACACAGAUGCCCUUCCAGAUGCCCUCAGUAGUCUAACUGAUUCCAUCGCCCCAGCCUUGGGGGAGAAGCACUGCUGCCUAUGCACUCCAUUUACAGGUGAACUGUCACCCCUACAACUCAGCUUGCAACCAGCCCUGGCCACCACCAGUUUCCCCACACUGAGCUGAAUAUUGGACAUGCCCAUCUUAGACAUUCCAGCCCAUUCUGAAAUUCCACAUCGAUUCACCCGACAAAGUCUGAAGUUCCAGGGCAAUUUAUCUGGAAAAGCUCACCUGGAAUCAUGUGUCAUUUCAACCAACAACUGUCGAAGAGGACGUGGCAUCAAAACCAAGGUUGAAAAAGAUCAUCUAGCAAAGCCUUUUUUCCCAGCUACAUAUAAGGAAUUUGAAAGUCGCAUAAAAUGGUUAAGAAAAUGUGCCAAGAUUACCUCAGUAAUUCUGGUCUGUGUUCUCAGGAGACCCUGGAAAUAAACAAUGUGUCUUCUGUGGCUUCAGCGUCACCUAGUGCAGGCUGCCAUUCAACAAACGCAUUGUCAACAGUCAACCAAAAGAAACCCAUUGGCCACCAUACCCUGAGGACUAACCCUGACACAGAUGCCCUUCCAGAUGCCCUCAGUAGUCUAACUGAUUCCAUCGCCCCAGCCUUGGGGGAGAAGCACUGCUGCCUAUGCACUC